rnacentral:misc_RNA from 1 species
AACCAUAGAAACCUGCGGAGUACCUGCGGAGGGAUCAUUAAAGAUUGACCGAAAGGUCUUAUCUCUAUAUCCCUCACCUCUGUGAACUGUGGACCUCCGGGUCUAUUUAACAAACAUCAGUGUAAUGAACGUAUAUAUCAUUAAACAAAACAAAACUUUCAGCAACGGAUCU